AUUUUCCUUCCUAAAAUGCAGUCUUCUUUUUCGCAGCGACAUCUCCUCAUCUCCGGCAAAUAAAAGCUUUCAGUCCAACCAAAAGCCGCCGGCGACAUCUCAUCAGCAAACAAAUCCCUCCUUCUUCGCAGGCGGCAUCUCCAACUCCGACAAAGACCCAAUUUCGGAGUCAGCUUUUUGUUUGUGAGCUGUGCCCGCCAUUGUGGAUGCGUUUGCUUAUGCAGCCUCAGAAGCUUGUUUGACGGCAUAAGCACAAUCUGAUUCCCGUUCCUACAAUAGCAUUUCCAACAAGGGUGAAGAUUCCUCAAGUAUUUCCAGAGCUGCCGUUGCCAGGAAAGCAGGGGAGCCAUUAGUGAUAGAGGAAAUAAUAGUUGCCCCUCCAAAAGCCCGUGAGCUUCGCGUUCGAGUCUUGUGCUCCGCCCUCUGCUUCAGUGACAUCCAUUUCUGGAGGCUCAAAGUAUGAAUCUCAUGUCCUCUAAUCACACGCAGAUCAGCAUAA